UACAGAGGUCCCAAGCGUUGUUCGGAUUCACUGGGCGUAAAGGGUGCGUAGGCGGUCGGGUAAGUCUGAUGUGAAAUCUCACAGCUUAACUGUGAAACUGCAUUGGAUACUAUCCGGCUAGAGGAAUGGAGGGGAGACUGGAAUACUUGGUGUAGCAGUGAAAUGCGUAGAUAUCAAGUGGAACACCAGUGGCGAAGGCGAGUCUCUGGACAUUUCCUGACGCUGAGGCACGAAAGCGUGGGGAGCGAACGGG
rnacentral:rRNA from 1 species